rnacentral:rRNA from 1 species
GGUAUCAGAAGUGCGAAUGCUGACAUAAGUAACGAUAAAGCGGGUGAAAAGCCCGCUCGCCGGAAGACCAAGGGUUCCUGUCCAACGUUAAUCGGGGCAGGGUGAGUCGACCCCUAAGGCGAGGCCGAAAGGCGUAGUCGAUGGGAAACGGGUUAAUAUUCCCGUACUUGGUGUUACUGCGAAGGGGGGACGGAGAAGGCUAUGUUGGCCGGGCGACGGUUGUCCCGGUUUAAGCGUGUAGGUGUGUGUUCCAGGUAAAUCCGGUUCACUUUAACACUGAGGCGUGAUGACGAGGCACUACGGUGCUGAAGCAACAAAUGCCCUGCUUCCAGGAAAAGCCUCUAAGCAUCAGGUAACACCAAAUCGUACCCCAAACCGACACAGGUGGUCAGGUAGAGAAUACCAAGGCGCUUGAGAGAACUCGGGUGAAGGAACUAGGCAAAAUGGUGCCGUAACUUCGGGAGAAGGCACGCUGACACGUAGGUGAAGUGAUUUACUCACGGAGCUGAAGUCAGUCGAAGAUACCAGCUGGCUGCAACUGUUUAUUAAAAACACAGCACUGUGCAAACACGAAAGUGGACGUAUACGGUGUGACGCCUGCCCGGUGCCGGAAGGUUAAUUGAUGGGGUCAGCGUAAGCGAAGCUCCUGAUCGAAGCCCCGGUAAACGGCGGCCGUAACUAUAACGGUCCUAAGGUAGCGAAAUUCCUUGUCGGGUAAGUUCCGACCUGCACGAAUGGCGUAAUGAUGGCCAGGCUGUCUCCACCCGAGACUCAGUGAAAUUGAACUCGCUGUGAAGAUGCAGUGUACCCGCGGCAAGACGGAAAGACCCCGUGAACCUUUACUAUAGCUUGACACUGAACAUUGAGCCUUGAUGUGUAGGAUAGGUGGGAGGCUUUGAAGUGUGGACGCCAGUCUGCAUGGAGCCGACCUUGAAAUACCACCCUUUAAUGUUUGAUGUUCUAACGUGGACCCGUAAUCCGGGUUGCGGACAGUGUCUGGUGGGUAGUUUGACUGGGGCGGUCUCCUCCUAAAGAGUAACGGAGGAGCACGAAGGUUGGCUAAUCCUGGUCGGACAUCAGGAGGUUAGUGCAAUGGCAUAAGCCAGCUUGACUGCGAGCGUGACGGCGCGAGCAGGUGCGAAAGCAGGUCAUAGUGAUCCGGUGGUUCUGAAUGGAAGGGCCAUCGCUCAACGGAUAAAAGGUACUCCGGGGAUAACAGGCUGAUACCGCCCAAGAGUUCAUAUCGACGGCGGUGUUUGGCACCUCGAUGUCGGCUCAUCACAUCCUGGGGCUGAAGUAGGUCCCAAGGGUAUGGCUGUUCGCCAUUUAAAGUGGUACGCGAGCUGGGUUUAGAACGUCGUGAGACAGUUCGGUCCCUAUCUGCCGUGGGCGCUGGAGAACUGAGGGGGGCUGCUCCUAGUACGAGAGGACCGGAGUGGACGCAUCACUGGUGUUCGGGUUGUCAUGCCAAUGGCACUGCCCGGUAGCUAAAUGCGGAAGAGAUAAGUGCUGAAAGCAUCUAAGCACGAAACUUGCCCCGAGAUGAGUUCU